CGAAACAUAGCUUAAUUAAAGCACCUCGCUUACACCGAGAUAAUAUUUGUUGAACCCAAAUUGUUUUGA
rnacentral:tRNA from 1 species